rnacentral:rRNA from 1 species
UACGUAGGGUGCAAGCGUUAAUCGGAAUUACUGGGCGUAAAGGGCGCGCAGGCGGCCCUCCAAGUCAGGCGUGAAAGCCCCGGGCUCAACCCGGGAACAGCGCUUGAGACUGGGGGGCUUGAGUUCGGGAGAGGAGAGUGGAAUUCCCAGUGUAGAGGUGAAAUUCGUAGAUAUUGGGAAGAACACCGGUGGCGAAGGCGGCUCUCUGGACCGACACUGACGCUGAGGCGCGAAAGCGUGGGGAGCAAACAGG